UACGUAGGUGGCAAGCGUUAUCCGGAAUUAUUGGGCGUAAAGCGCGCGCAGGCGGUUUCUUAAGUCUGAUGUGAAAGCCCACGGCUCAACCGUGGAGGGUCAUUGGAAACUGGGGAACUUGAGUGCAGAAGAGAAAAGCGGAAUUCCACGUGUAGCGGUGAAAUGCGUAGAGAUGUGGAGGAACACCAGUGGCGAAGGCGGCUUUUUGGCCUGUAACUGACGCUGAGGCGCGAAAGCGUGGGUAGCAAACAGG
rnacentral:rRNA from 1 species